rnacentral:tRNA from 1 species
GCAGAGGUAGUUUAGAAGAAUGUAAGAUUGUCGUUUUUGCGGGGCCCGCGUAGUGGGCUCUCUGCU